GUGGGGAAUAUUGGACAAUGGGCGCAAGCCUGAUCCAGCCAUGCCGCGUGAGUGAUGAAGGCCCUAGGGUUGUAAAGCUCUUUCACCGGUGAAGAUAAUGACGGUAACCGGAGAAGAAGCCCCGGCUAACUUCGUGCCAGCAGCCGCGGUAAUACGAAGGGGGCUAGCGUUGUUCGGAAUUACUGGGCGUAAAGCGCACGUAGGCGGACAUUUAAGUCAGGGGUGAAAUCCCGGGGCUCAACCCCGGAACUGCCUUUGAUACUGGGUGUCUGGAGUAUGGAAGAGGUAAGUGGAAUUCCGAGUGUAGAGGUGAAAUUCGUAGAUAUUCGGAGGAACACCAGUGGCGAAGGCGGCUUACUGGUCCAUUACUGACGCUGAGGUGCGAAAGCGUGGGGAGCAAACAGGAUUAGAUACCCGUGUAGUCC
rnacentral:rRNA from 1 species